rnacentral:rRNA from 1 species
UUUUUUAAAAAGCUUUUUUUUCAGGUUUUUUUAAAAAAAUUUUAGAAAAGUUUUUAAUUAAUUGGGGCGAUUUUUAAAUUUUUAGAAACUUUAAAGAUGUGAUAUUGGACCCAAUAUUAUUGAUACAUUAAUCAAAAUACUCUAGGGAUAACAGCGUUAUUACUUUGGAUAGUUCAUAUAGAUAAAGUAGAUUGCGACCUCGAUGUUGGAUUAGGAUACCUUUAUUAGUGAAGAAGUUAUAAAAGGAGGUUUGCUCAACCUUUAAAUUCCUACA